UGGUCAACCAUUGCACUUUUUGGCCACUACAGAUGAACUGCUGGUCAACUACUGGGCAACCAUUGCUCUUUUUGGCCACCAGGGCACACUGCUACCUCAUGAGCAACCAUUGGUCAACUACAGAUGAACUGUUGGUUGACCAUUGGUCAACCAUGGAUCUUUUUGGCCACUACAGAUGAGCUGCUGGUCAACUACUGGUCAACCAUGGGUCUUUUUGGCCACCAGGGCACACUGCAGCCUCAUGGGCCACCGUUGGUCAACCACUGUUCCACUAUUAGUCAACUACUGGUCUUCUUGGCAACCAGGGCACACUGCUGCCUCGUGAGCAACCAUUGGUCAACUACUGAUGAACUGCUGGUCAACCACUGGUCAACUAUGGGUCUUUAUGGCCACCAGGGCACAGAGCAGCAUAAUGGGCAACUAUUGGUCAACUACUGAUGAACUGCUGGUCAACUAUUGGUCAACCAUGGAUCUUUUUGGCCACUACAGAUGAACUGAUGGUCAACUACUGGUCAACCAUUGCUCUUCUUGGCAACCAGGCCAUACUGCUGCCUCGUGAGCAACCAUUGGUCAACUACAGAUGAACUGUUGGUCAACCACUGGUCAACCAUGGGUCUUUUUGGCCACCAGGGCACACUGCAGCCUCAUGGGCAACCUGUGGUCAACUACUGGUCAGCUGCUGGUCAACUACUGGGCAACCAUUGCUCUUUUUGGCCACCAAGGCACACGGCUGCCUCAUGGGCCACUGUUGGUCAACCACUGUUCCACUAUUAGUCAACUACUGG
rnacentral:lncRNA from 1 species